AUAAUUGCAGAUGAGUAGUACUAGUAAAUGAAAUAACAAAAUGCAAGAACUUAAUCAAACAUAAAACAAGUAAUUCAUUCCCAUUUCAGGAAAAGAUGAGCAUGGAAAAAGAUUAAUAAAUGCCACAGAAAGUAAGCUAUUUUUUGAAUUUAUUUGUUGUUAUGUUUAUAACAUUUAGUUUUCACUUCCAAAAAUAUUACCACUACUAGUAACAGUCGAAUAUAUAUUGUGUUCAUGGACAAACCCCACUAGCAUGAACAAGAAGAAACAAACAGCUUAACAGAUCCAUUGCAUAUUGGGAAACAAAACAAAUGACCACAAAUUUUCCAAUAUCUAUUGCACAUUAGACACAAAAGCAAGAGACUGCGCGAGAAAUAUAAUUGAGUUCAUAAUGCUACUGAAACAAUUAAAACAAGUAAAAUGAAGAAUAAAAUAUUGAGCAAGAAAAACCCUAGUUACAAAAUAAAAUCACCUUGAGAAAGCCAGCUCCAGCAA
rnacentral:misc_RNA from 1 species